CGGCUGCGGCUGCUUCUGGGGCUGCAGCUGGGGCUGCGCGGCCUGGUACUGCUGUGCUUGCUGCUGUAGGAUUUGGAGCUGAGUCUGGCCGACGUGAUGCUGCGUCUGAAUCUGCUGCUUCAAGUCUUCAAGCAGGGAUCCUGCCAUUCCGGUCAUGCCAGGCAUUCCAAACGUGGCCGAGCCCGGCAAGCCCAAAUCCGGCCCCAGGCUGAACUCCGUGCCGGGGAUGUAGAAGGGGAAGAGAAACUGAGGCUGCUGGAACUGCAACAGUGCUUCGGGGGUCACAGGGAAAUGAGGCAAAAAGGCUGGGUUUAGAAACUGAGGCUGAAAGAACGCAGCUUGCUGCUGCAACUCGUGCUGGAGCUGCAUCUGAAUUUGUGCUGGUGACUGCAGCGGGUGGUGCGGAGGUUGGGCAGAGAUUAAGUCCGGACUUUGCUUUUUAUUUAUUUCUUUGGCAUCUAAGUGGCUCUCCUUGCUGCCGACUGUCGCGAGACUCAUGGAAUCUAACAUCCCCUGGCCGGGACUACUGUUUGCUGCCAUGCCGUGCCCACCAGCCCCGUGGCCGCUCGGCUCCAGCUUGGCAGCCCGCGCCUUUGUCUGGUGGAGCACGGACCUCAUGUGGAUUUCCAACGUGGAGCUUUGGCUGUACGCAACAUUGCAGAUGCUGCACUUGUAGGGUUUGUUGUCUGUGCUGCUGUUGGUCUCUUGAGGAACGGGACUGGAGGCUUCCUGCAAGACCUUUUUCAACUUAUGCAGAUGAGACACUGAAUUAUAGUGGACCAAGAGAAUGUUCUUCUGGGUGAACGACUCUUUACACACUGUACACUUAUACGGGCGCGAUGGGUCAAGGAAUUUUUCCAUCGUAAAGUUUGGCCCUUUUCUGAAAGGUAAGGUCCGCUUUGGUUCAGAGCCCAUGUCAUCCGGGAUUGAGCUACUAUCACUUCCUACAGGACUUGCCUUCCCUUCGUGGUCCACCUCGUACUCUCUCUCCAUGUCCUGCUCUAGGCCGUGGUCGUCCUGUGCCAUCGUUUCACUCUCUGCCCACAGUUCGCCGUUCACGGGCAAGGAGGCAUACAGCUGCUGAAGUUCGGCCUCGCUCAGCUCGGGGUGGCCUGCUUCCAAGUGUUUUUUUAAAGCCUGGAAUGUACGGAAACUACGCUGGCAGAGAUUACACAUCGUCGCGGCCCGAAUCGCAUGAUACUGGGAAUGUAUCUGAAGCUUCUGCAUAGUCUUAAAAGCCAAGCUGCAGUGGUUACAGCGGUACUUAUAAACGUGGCGGUCCGACACGGAGAGCGGUUGCCUCUUUUGCUGCUCGCUUAACUGAUCCUGUAGGGUGUCAGGGAUUUUCACAUCCUUACUGCUAUUUUUAUUCCAUUCUGACACUUCCAUGGGUUCUUUAGUUGGUUUCUGCUCCUCGCUCUUUAUUUCCACGCUGGCCUUUGAAUCAUCAAGACCUGCCAUACUUUUGUCAUCCACUGGACUUUCGCCUGUGCGGAAGAAAGCACAAAUAUGUCACUUACAGGAAGAAAGCCUACUGCUUAAAUGCCAAUAAAUAUAGUAAGUAGGAAACUCUAAAGAUUUCUGCUAAAUCAAUUUCUUUCUUUCUUUCUGAAGUAGGCUCCGUGCCCAGCGUGGAGCCCAACGUGGGGUUUGAACUCACGACCCGAGAUCAAGACCCGAGCUGAGAUGAAGAGUUGGAUGCUUAACCGACUGAGCCGCCGAGGCGGCCCUAAUUGAUUCUUUGCGGAGAUACUUAUUGAGCAACUACUGUGUGCCAAGCACUGUACUGGGUGCUGGGGAUGUAAAGAUCCUGCACCCGGGCUGGCAUACCUGAAUAUUUCCCAGAUCCCUCAGCUGUGAUGGCUGCAGGUGUGUCCCGCUCUGACUUCUCAGAGGCGGCAGCUGGCAGUAGCAGACUGUUGGGCAUCAUCACAUCGGGCACAGGCACCUGUGAGAAGCAAAGGGGUUCAUGUCACAUGGAGCCCAGAAAUCAGACUCCAUCACAUUUGCCGCUGGGCCGUAGACCAUCCCACUUACAUUUUUCCACACAGAAACGGGGACAUUUUGUGGCUCCUACAGACCAAGGCUAUCCCUUCGGAUUUUAGAUCAAUACUAUUACAAUGCCAUAUUCCUCUUUUCUUUUUUUAAAAAUAUGAUUUGAAGGUUUUUGUCUGUCUAUUUUUUUUUUACAACGAUCAUCAGGAAAGUUUGAGACUCAACAUGCCCACGUGAAUCAUGCAAUUAACAUUACAGAUCUAAAAGCAAGACAAUAAAAUAUGUUACUGAAUAAGCUAUGCCUUGAAUCAUAUUUCCUUUCUCCGUAAGCAAAAGAGACGACAAAUAAAUGGGCCUCGGUUGUGAUUUCUAGAACACGGUCUGUAAGAGAACUAUCAGUAGGCAGAAAAAAUACAUUUCUCAAGCAAUAAUUACAGAUUUCGUGUUGAUACUUUUAGAGAGAUCAUGUCACAUGCGAAGCAACGUUUGGUCUCCUUACUGUCAUGAGCAGCUUCUCCACACAAUCCGGAGACACGCUGUGCAAAUGCGUCAGAUGCAGCUGGAGGUGCAUUUUGUUGCUGAGGACGUCCUGACAGAGGGGACAGCAGAUGACGGGCUGUACCGAGUGCUGUGACAGGACAUGCAUCUGGAUACGACUCUGGUCCCUACUAUUGUAGUUACAAUAAGGGCACUGAAAGAGCUGGAGAAUACGGGGCUGAAUCAUCUGUAAACUUUUCCACUGGAUUUUGUUUGAAAUGCCUCAAAUAGAUGCCCUUAAAAAGAGCAAAUUCCUGAGUCCACCGCUGCAGGUUUAGCAGCUCCUUCUGUCUCCUCACUUUGUUCUUCUGUUAAGAAAAGCAGACCCAGUCAGAGGACUGAAAACCCCAGAAGGAUGCCCACUGAAAUAAACGUGACCAUUUAAAAACCGUGCCAUUUAUGAAUCAUCUGCAGACAUUCACUCUGAAGAAAGAACGCAAAUUUAUUCACAAGUCUCUAUUAGAACCUGCUGACUGUUACCAAAGCAGAUUUUCAUCCACAGUCCCCUUCUUUUACAUCCAUUGAGAAAAUGUGCCUGUACUAAAU